UUGCCCAUGGGGAAAUCGAACCCACGACCUGCGCGUUAUUAGCACGCGCUCUGACCAACUGAGCUAAUGGGCC